rnacentral:rRNA from 1 species
UACGUAGGGUGCGAGCGUUGUCCGGAAUUAUUGGGCGUAAAGAGCUUGUAGGCGGUUUGUCGCGUCUGCUGUGAAAAUCCGGGGCUCAACCCCGGACUUGCAGUGGGUACGGGCAGACUAGAGUGUGGUAGGGGAGACUGGAAUUCCUGGUGUAGCGGUGAAAUGCGUAGAUAUCAGGAGGAACACCGGUGGUGUAGACGGCUCUCUGGACCGUAACUGACGCUGAGGCACGAAAGCGUGGGUAGCAAACAGG